rnacentral:tRNA from 1 species
GCCGUAAUCGUCUAGUGGUUAGGACAUCAGUUUGUGGACUCACCCAGUGAAACACUGGAAACCGAGGUUCGAUUCCUCGUUACGGCA